CAUACUCACAGACGCAAUCUACAGGGGGUAGUACUGAACCAUACUUACGACGUCCGAAUACAACCCGUGCGAUCAAUGUCUUGUGUUGUUAGGGAAAUUCAGUCGGUAUUUAUUUUGUUACGGAGGUGUUUGCGUUCCGUUAAAAUCGUCUCUAUUAACUAUCCGUCGAAAUUAUAAGCCAUCAGUGGGAACAUUUAACGUAUAUUCGUACUUAGUAAUCUUUUCCGUAAGGAUGAAUAUGAAUAAUAGAUAUCAUUGAAAGACUUACACAGUGAAAUGUUUCACGAUGAGAAGCUGAGUGUGUAUAUCUUAUUAGUGACGUAGGCAAAAUCUUUUAAAAGAUUUCACGUACUGUGUGUUUGUGUUUUGCCAAUAUAUCCGAGAUUCGUGAUUUUGUUGGUAUAAUUUUGUUAACGCUGUGUGUGUGUUUAAAUGUAGGAAGUAUCUUUGUACUGAUAAGAAGAAAAUCACCUAGUCUUCCCUCUUGUACGAAAGGUGAUAGUGUGUUUAUACGCGUAUAUUCAUUUCUUGGUUCAUUUGUGAUUUCGUAGGUUUUGGUGAUGAGAAAUGGCAUCUUUGUAAUAUCUACGUAAAGUAUAAAAUAAAAUCAAGUAGAGUAUUACGACAAAUUUGUUCUGUGUGACGACAUGAUUCAGAAUUCGACUAAGAAGAUAUAUACCACCAUGUUUAUAUGAGGAAUUAUGGGGGCACUGAAGUGUUCUACAGAAAACGCCACCAGGAAGAUCAAAGGAAGGAAGGAAGGGUCAACUGGGAUUUAGUGGAUAGAACCAACUUCAUAUGUGCGCUGACUACGAGAAUUUGUUAGUUGAAAACAUAAUUAUCGCAGAGCAAAAAAACAUGGGAUCUCUAUUAUGAGCUGGCUCUAAUGCAACGCAAAUAAAAGAAGUGUGUGUCAAAGCGAA